UUUGUGUGUGGUUUCAUAUUGAGAUUAUUCGCAGAUAAUAAGUGGUCGGCAAAUGCUGUAAAUUGUAAAAAAAAAAUCGCGAUUAAUCGUGAUUAAUUCUUCAAAGUUUGCGAUUAAUUUGUUAAUUUUUUUAAUCGAUUCCCGGCCCUAAUUAGAAGUCAUUCUAGCUGAUCUGUCAGCCUCCAUAAUCGUAGUGUUGCUUCAGUAUGUUAGCAAGGUAACAUCACCCCAUUACUAAUAAUACAAAAUGAUUUAGAGGGUCGGAUAUAAUUAACUUCCGGGCCAGAUCCGGCCCCCGGACCUUGAACCAUCUGGAACAUGUGUUCUAGAUGAAACAAACGGGCAUGUUAUACGAGACCUCUCCUCUUUGUGUUGCAGUUUUCACACUUCAACCAGCUUUUCGAAGGGUCAAGGCUCCUGUGUUCUUAGGUAGGACUUCCGUCACCAAACUCUCCAGCAACUUUGAAAAGAGAUUUAAAAGGAGAAGAAGCUGAGGCGACGUCUGCUGCGGGGGACAAAGAUUAGCUUCAAAGAUGACGUGAUUUAUGUUAUGAUAAAGUCAUCUGACAUGUUUUCUUCA